GCUUCCCGCACAGUACAGCUAAAUAUCGCAUUAUCCUUAUAUAAGUAUAUGAUGACCAGCUGUGACAUAAAAGUACAACGAAUAUAACGACCGACAUUAAAUUAAUUGAAGCUUUGUAAAAUAGGACAGACACGCUUAAGCCAGAUUUAUCGAACUGAAAGGGGCAAACGUUUGAAAAAAUGAACACGUUUAUCUUCACUGCGACGUUCAUUUUACUUUCAACCGUUGUCAAUCAAGGAAUAUCCAAUCCUGCUAUAGGUUUCAGCGCGAUUUUAUCCCAGAAUACUUAUCUGGAAAACGACCAUGCAAUAGUAUAUGACAAUGUCGUUACAAAUGUUAGAAACGGCUAUAAUAGAUGGUCAGGGCACUUUGCUGCUCCAAGAAAAGGGCUAUAUGUCUUUACCUGCUCAGUAAGAGCCAACAGCAAAGUCGGGAUAACUGUUGUAAUUGUACACAAUGGCCGUCCGGUUCUGAGGAUCGCUUCAUCUGUUUAUUCACCAGAAACUGGUUCAGGAUCGGUGACAUUGAUUUUGAAGAAAGGAGAUAAUGUAUGGGUUAAACGCCUCGGUCAUGGAAGACAUAUAGAAAAACAUUACAACUACU